GUUUUUAAAAAUCUGUAAACUUUACUAAUGCAUUUUUCAAAUGUAGACUCUUACAAAUCUGAAGUUGCUUAGUGAGCCUUAAAUACAUUGAGCAUUGGUAAGUUUUCAAAGCCAAGAUUUAUGUUUUGAUUUUCUAAAGUAUAUUAAAAGUGGUUAGAAAUAUGCCUCUAAUAUAGUAUGCAUAUGAUGAAAUUAAUCUUUUAUAAAGAUUGCCUAUAAAACAAAGUAAGAACAACAACAGCAAAACCCCAGGGGACAUGGCUGUGUGUGUGUGUGUCUGUGUUCUGUAGUACAUGUUACUUUGUUUGGAGGUCUCUUAGUUUGGAUUCUAAACCUAAAAAAAGAAAAAUAAUCUACAGCUCCUUCAUCAGUUUCCUCCAGAUAAAGUUCAACAAAGCUGUAAGGUUUAACUUUAUGUACAUUUUACUAUGAGCUUCUAUUAUAUACUGGGAAAAUAACGAAGCCAUUGCAGUAGGAUUUGACCAUUGGUUUUGAUGGAAAUGAGGCCCAUAAAGUUGUGGUUGUUAGUUGUUUGGUAUGUAACUGUUGGGCUCACUGUUGGGAUGUCAGCAGUUCUGUAUGCCUUUCUUAGUUCUUAUCUUCUUAUGGAAUUUUUGCCAUCUUGUUGCAGUAUUCAUGAACUGCUGUGAUUCCUGUCUGGUCAGAGUUUAGGAUCCACUCGGUGCUGAUAUAUUUGGUGUUACUGAAGACAAUGUUCACAUUAACUUAACUGUAAACAAUACAGUUAAACUAACAAGGAAAACUUCAAAAGAUGCCAUCCUUUAGCUUUUAAACACUACAAUAGAAAGCUUUCAGUAACUUUUUUGCAGACCAGGUUUUCAUAACUGGUAUGGUUGUAAUGUUGAAGAGUAUUUUUCACAUGUAGAAAGAGCAAAAGAGAUAAUAUUUGGUAAAGAACAAACCUGUGUACCUAAACACAUGAAGAGGCUGAGGAAGGGGCUGUUACAGUGAAAUGCACUGUUGUGUGAAUGAUCUGCUAUGGAAUUUGUCCCCAGUGUACUUUGUUAAAGGACCUAAGUAGCACUAUUGGACAAGUCAAAGUUGAAACCUUUCCAGGCUUUUUCUUUGGCUAUGGCCAGUAACAAGUCCCUGUAGAAUCAGUAUAUAAUUGUGGCAGAUAUGGAAUGAUCUAUGUUGGUUUGUUAUAGAAAUGUGAAUGGACUUUUUGGAUCAAAGGCUGUGUUUAAAAUGUAUUUCAUUUAAAGGCAGUGUCACUGCUGGCAUGACCAGGUCUGUUCAAAUUGUACUAAACCGGUGGAACUGUAAGCAGAAGAUUAUGACAUAUCUGGCAUUGUAACUGAGGACACAAAUAUCUCUUCCUUCUCCUGAGUGCUGUUAAUGUUGUCUGUCAGUGGAUCUUGCACUAGUUGUUUAUCUGUUUCUGUUUGUAAUAUCAUGGCAAUUUUCCUGUCCCUAAACCAUUUAAGGCUAAAAUGCAUUUUCCUUUAUUUUAGGAAGUAUGAUUUCUGAUCCCAGCUGGGAACUCUGGGUUCUACUCUCGUAGGUAUGAUUUGUGUUUGAUUCACUACUAUGCUAGCUCUGCAAAAGGCACUUUGUUCCCCACAUUGUAUGAAAUAAUAGCAAAUCACGCAGGGAAUUUGUGUAUUACUGAAUCCUUUUUAUUAUUACACAAUAUUCUACAGAGCAUACAUUUUGUGAAAUUAACAAAUACAUGUGCUGUUGUUCCUUUGAUUUGGUGUUUUAUUUCUUCUGAAACAGAUGUUUUUAGUUAAGGAAACUGAAGUUUCAUUUUUAGCAUCUCAUGGAUACAAAAUACCACAAUUUUUACUGAUCUCUGAGACUUUUCUGAUUGUUUGUGUGGUGGUGUCUUGUUUGCUGCUUAAUUUGAAUUGAAUGGCACAAUCUUAAUCUUGCUGCACAAUUGAAGUUUUACCUCUUCUUUCAAUGUGUUCUGCUUUUUGUGCUGAUGAAUUUUGUUAUUGAAGAUGUCUGUAAAAUAAUUGUCCUUUCUCUGGCAAGGGGAGAGGGAUUAUUAUUGCAAGUAAAGUCCAGAACUGUACAAGCAGCCAAUACAGGAAGUAGUUGGGCUUAAUAAAAAGAGCAGUGAGAAAGGGAGGAAAAUAAUUUCUUGGCCUCUAGAGUGUUAAAGAAAAGAGAAGGGAUCUUGGUGUGGUUCUGGGGAAGGAAACCUGAUACUUUCUUUUACUCUUUCAUGUAGUGAAAUGUUCUCCAUUUUGGUUUUACACCUGUGCAAGAGGGCAUGCUACUCUCUUAGCUGUCCUGACCUGAGGUAGAGCUUACUAAAUUAUUCUUGUGACAGCAUGUUUUCACAUGAGCACAGUACUUCAGGAUAACAUAGAAAAAUAAGAUCAGGUCAUACUGGCCUCCUGGACCAGCUUUGGUUUUUUACAAUUGGUGUGUACUCAGUUAUUGCUGAAUGGAUCUCAUUUCAUCCAGAGCAGUUUGGGAGAGCAUCUGUCUGCAUUCCAGUUCAUUUACAGGGUCAGUUUGCACAAACUCUUGUUUUUGUUAGAAUCCAAGGGGAGAAAAAAAGGAUACAGCUCUGUUUUUUACUACAUGUCCCAGUACACUCGCAUCCAAGCCAGAUGUGAGAUACAUCAUAUGAUGGCUGCAGUUGAUAACUUACAUUCAGGACUACAUUGGAUGCCAGUUCAACUGGCAGAUUGAGGACAACUCUCACCUUUUUAAACAUUUAUUAGCACAGAGUAUCCUAGCAGGAAGGGCUCAGGUGAGUCUGUGCAGUUUGCAUACUGAAAAUUACUUUCAGGAGGAUGAGCACAUGUCAGUCUUAAAAUUCCUGUGACCUAAAUAUCCAUCAAUGUUGUAACUUCUUUUAGGCACUGUCCAAAGCACCAGACUUGCAAAACAGCACAGGCCUACUGCAUCUACUUUUCACAAGUCACAAAAAAUACUAUGGGGCUGAGAGAUGGAAUACUUUGCCCCAUUUUAAAGCCAGUUGGCCUCUCUUAUGCCCCUCUCUAUUAAGCCCCUUUGUUCUCCUUGACUCUGCCUUCCCCUGUUCAUCCCCCACUCCAUGGGUGUAUACAGCUCCAUUGAUUCCUGCACCCCUUGCAGUCCGAUCCCCAAUAUCAUUUCCAAAGUCCAGGAUGAAAUAACCUUUCACACACGUACAUGCUCUUACCAGUUAAUAUGACUGACCAGGUUUGGUUCUCAUCCCUGCCUCCCUUACCACGUCAGCCAGCUUUAUCCUCAUGCAUUUCUGUUCUUGGCUUCUUCCUUACAGUCCCUGUUGUGUCAGAAAAGCUAGUAGAGGAGUAGUCCUUCCACACACUCAUACAAAUAAUUGUGCCACAUAAAACAUCCAGCAAUUUUAGUGCCACAUUUGUCCUUACUUGGGGGUUUAGUUGGAGAGGUCACAUUUCAUUCCUGUGGUAAUGAAUGGACAAGAGGCAGCCAAGGUGUACAACACCAAGACUGGAAAUUUGCAUGUUCAAGUGGAUUUUUUAAUUGGAAAGGACUCACUUGAAUGUACAGAAAAAAAAUGAGAGUAUUUGGUGUAUAGUGUAAUAAGCAAAAAAAAAAAAAAAAGCAGUGUAGUAGAGUAUAGGGAAAGGACCUGUUCAAGCAGUAAUCAGUUCCGUGGAAUACCAUAAAUUGAGUUUCUCUUCCUUGUGUGCUUUGAGCUGUUAAGAGUUUGAUACUGCUGUCAUGUUAAGGAUUGCAAACCAGCUGGUUCUGGCUGUUUGCACACUUGCAGACAUUUGAAGAUUAAUUUACUGCUACUACUUUUAAUCUUUUGCAAAAGUGAUUAUGACUCCACUGCUAUAAACAAGUUUGAAGCUAUGCUCUUCUCAGCUAUUGACUUUAUUGUCUAGAAAUGUCAUUCAUUUCUGUAUUUUUAUUUUGUCUAUUGCCUUUGAACAUCUUUGAGGUGUUUUUGUUUCAGUAUUUUCCUUUCUAGAAACACAUUUUUGCAAUUAGAGAGGGAGGAAAGAAGAAUAAGAAAGGAUAAAUGUAUCAGCAUUUGGAAGCUUCUGGGUUCAUAUCUGGAUACAGUGCCAAUCAGGAAGGCAGGGAGUGGAAAUGACAUUAUGUUUCCAAGCCAAUAUCAGUUACAUCCAUUUCCUGUUUGUCUUCUAGCCAAUAAAUGCCAACUUUAAUUUAAAGGGAAUGAAAUCAUUGUGACACCAAAAGGAACAACCUCAAAUGUUUCUUAUCUUUACUCAGCUUCUUCACCGAUACAGUUUUCUUCCAUUGAACUCCUAAGGCAAUGUAAUACAUACACCAGUACAGGCAGUGAGCAUCUGACUUGUGUCCAGGUUUCAGGAACAACAUAAGGCCUUGGCCUGCUGGCCUCCCUUUUCCUGUUCCCAUGCUUUGCUUGCCAUGGGAAGUUGCCAUAAAGUGAAACAGAUGAAGUAUCUGGAGCAUUGUGAAAAACCAAUUUGGAGUGGGAAUAUGCUAAUGCAGUGUGUUGUAUUAAGUGAUGUGUUUGGUUACAGAGAUGGAGGUGACCAAGUAGCUCAUACAUGUAGUCUUUUUUCCAGUCAGUAUCUACCUUUGAUCUGGUGAAAGUUGUCCAAGGAAGUAAUCCCAGCUGGGAACAGUUGGUGCAAAUAAACCCUUCAAAGGAUGACUGGAUAUUGGAUACACUGUUUUAUUGUCUAUGUAUUAACUAGGGAGAUUACAUUAAAAAGAUUUAUUUCUAUAAAGAGACUGGCUGACACAAAUACUAUCAUCACAUAUUUUGUUUUAAUACAGCUGUUGAAAAUACUGUAGCCUGACAAAGCUCUGUCAGCUAAUAACUGAAUGUUUAUGAGAGUGACUUAAAUAGCAGCUCCAGGCUGAUAUUUUCUAAUUGUUUUGAAUUUUAUUUUUAGUGUAAGAAAUAUGACCCAAAACAAUGGGAUAAGACAAGGACAAGAGAUGGAAAAGCAGGGGGUGGGGUGGGGGGGAAUCAAUGGGAGAAAAAUGGUUACAUAAGUGAAAGGGUAGUUGAGUUACACUGGGGCUGGGAAUUGAUGCAAGAAGGGGAGAGAACAUAAGAGUAUUACUGCUUUAAAUCUGUCCUUCAAAAUUUUUUAAAUUCAGCUUUCAUCCUGAUGAUCUUCCUGGAUGUUAAGCAAUGUUUAUAUAUCCCCAGUGGGAUGGAGUAUUGGAUGGAGAGUCAGGGGACUCUCCUGUAGUCAAAUUUUUGUGUCUUCUGACAUGUUGUGAUGAGAGCAGACUUACAGAAGUGGUGCACAAAUGAUACAGAGCCAUCAGAAGUGAGAGAUGUAGCUACAGCACCUCCUCUGAGCAGUGUUGCAAGGAGCAUGGUGGUACCAAAGUGUUGCUGUCUGCUGUAAACAUAACUGCUUGGCUUCUGGCUUCUCAUGAGGCCACCAUGCUUCCUGAAAUAUCCCCACUCCAGUGACACUGCACAUAUCUUGUCUUUGCAUCUCUUCCAUGGCAAGUGUGUGGUAUCAAAUUUACUGUAUUUAAUUGACCACUGUAGUGUAGCCAGGAGCAAAAAUGUUCUGGCUUGCAUUAACAAAUUGGAGAAAACUGCUAUUGCUCUAAAUUGUCUGCUCCAUGAAGUAAUUGAUUUCUGGAAAGAAACUGUCUUAUGUUGUGUAUUAGGUUAGGUAUUGCAAUAGAUCCCCCAGGUUUUCUGGCCUUUAGCUGCUGUGGUAGUAAAUAUGACUGAUUUUCAAAUUUCAGAAUAUAAAACUAUACUGUCUCUUUGUAAAAAAAAAGGUUUCUAUCAAGCAUGCUCAUAAAGGUGGUGAGUUUCUGAAAGUUUUUCUUUGAUGCACAAAAUCCCUCACUGAACAGAAUUUAAUAGUCUAUCUAUGAGAAUUGCAUUCAAUAAGACAAUAUAAUUAUCUUUGUAGUAAGUAUUCAUUUAAAUUGAAAAUCCCUGAGUGGAAGGUAUGUAUCUAACAGAGCCUUGAGCUAGCAGUGCACUUUAGGGCUGGAAUCUAUAUAAUGCUUCAUCACAGAUGGACAGCUUGUGGACAAAAAUACAGUUUACCACCUCAGCAUGAACGUGGGGGGAAUUGGUAAGGCGGUGUAUAAUUAAUGCUGGUUUUGAUCCAGGAUACCUUUCCCUUAGGAGAGGAGAUGAAGAUUUUUAGUGAUAGUCUUUUAAAGAUUGGUUUAUGGUUCAGCAAACUGUGGAAUAUUGAGUAAAAUUAGAACUGUAUCGUGGCACAGACUGAGAGAGAAGUCCUUCCACUGUACUGCUGGCUCCACAUCCUCACAGGGAAACACUCUAAUAUGGUGUUUUUCUUUUAAAAUAAAAAAUAAAUGCUAUUUCUUUUCACUUUGAGAAAUAUGAAGAGCGUGGCUGUAAAAUGUGAUAGGCAAAAAAAAAAAUCAAUUUGAAGAACUGGUUCUAAUGUUCCCCUGGGAAUGUUGUGAUUUUUAAUAUUUCAGAAAUGGGUUUGCUUAGCCCUGAGGGAAAGGGAUUGGAAGAGCAUGAUAGACAUGAGCAUGCACGAAGACGGUACGUUCAGUAUUAAGGGGGAAGAAAUAGGUCACUGUGUAUUAGAUAGCUCAUUUGGUUUCCUUUACAGCCUCAAGAGACAGCAACUGCUGAGCUGCAGAAAGCUGCCCUGUAUUCUGAGGGAUAGGGCAAAUAAGCAAUGUAGAUGUCCUUGCUUUGGUUAUACACAGGUACACCUUUUAAUUCAUGCUUUCUUGUGGAGCUGAUGGUGCCUUACUGGAAAAAGUGCCUGUUUAUGCAACAGCUCUAGUUAUUCAUGUGUCAAUGCUGAGCUGCACGUGGCUUAAGGAAAACAUUUUUAAUGUGUGUUAUAUAAAAGGAAAUACUUUUCUUGGGUUUUUUUAUUUUUAUUUUUUUGUAGUUUAUUAUACAUUAUACCUGAGAAUGUUCCUUCUCAACACUCAAGCAAAAGUAUCAAGAUGCCUUCACGGAUGAACAAGGAGCUCCUGACUGAACUCAAACAUCCAAAGGAAGCACACAAGUGGUGGCAGCACAGAAAGGGGGCCGAGGGGGAAACCAGCAAUGCUGUCCUGAGGUUGCAUGGACAGGGUGAGAGGAAAGCCAAAGCAGUCAGGAGAGACAACAACAACGCUGAAUUAUUCAAUGAGGAAUUAAGAGAUAUCUCUAGUUCAUCUGCCCUUGUCCUUAUGGAAGAUUUUAACCUCCCAGACAUCAACUGGUUAGUAUCAUAGAGCAGAAACAGGUCCAGGAAAUUGCUGAAGCACAAGGAGGAUAACUUCUCUGUGCAGGGGCUAAGGGAGGCACCUAGGACAGGUGCCCUCCCAGCUUUGCUGUUUGUUAACACAGAUGGUCUCAGGGGUGAAGUGGUGACUUGGUGGCUGUCUUGAUCACACCAAGUAGUUAUGUUUCAAAUAAUUGGUGUUUGGAGAAUAAAACACCAGGAAAACUUUGUCCCUGGGUACGGGAAGAGCAGGUUUUGGGCUGCUGAAGGAGCUAGCUAGUAGGGACCUCUGAGGAUCUGCUUCUGAAGGUAUUUCCUUCCAUGAAUGCUAGUCACUUUCUAAGAGCCAUUUCUUAAGAGCACAGUAGCAGGCAAUUCCAAAGGAAGGGAAGCCAAGCAAGCAGUGCGAAGGACUGCCUCGGCUGAACAGGGGUCUUAUAGAAGUUAGACAAAAAGAAACUGUACAGACACUGGAAGCAAGAACAGACAACACAGGAGGACUAGAGAGAUUCUGUUUGGCACUGCCAGGAGAAAAUUCAUGCAGUCAAAGCUCGACUACAGUUCAAGCUGGCCAGCACUGAGAAGGACAAAAAAGGCUUUUCAAAAUAUAUUAACAGCAAACAGAGAAUCCGAGAGAACACUGGUCUCUGGAUUGAUGGGGUCAGUCACCUCACAAAUAGGGAUACAAACAAUGCAGAGGUAUUUAAUGCCUUCUUUGCCUCUGCCUUUAACACCAGUGCUGGGCCCCGAGAUCCCAGGAGACCUGUGUUGGAAGACCAGGACUGAGGGGAUGAUGAUCUCCCAACUGACCCUGAACUUGUUCAAGAGUAGCUGUUCAAGCUGGAUGCACAUAAAUCUGUGCAGCCUGACAGGAUUCAUCCCAGGAUACUGAUGGGGUUGGACAAAGUUAUCACAGGACCUUUCUGCAUUAUUUUUCUUCAGUGGCUUGGGAGUCUGGAGAGGUCCCAGUCAACAGGAAGCUGGCAAUGUUUCAAGAAGGGUAAGAAGGAAGACCCUGGUAAUGCUAGAUCUGCCAGUCUUACUUUUCAGUGUGUGGUAAAAUUACAGAGAAGUUUUUUUGAGAGACAAUCCAGUCAUUGAUUAUAGUGAGCACAGGUUCACAAGGGGAAAGUCUGGCUUAACCAAUUUAAUUUCAUUUCAUUAUAAGGUCACACACUUAAUUGAACAAGGGAAGCCAGUAAAUGUGGAGUUGUGGAAUUUUACCAAGCUUUUGAUACUAUUCUCAAUCAACUGCCCAGCACAAAGAUGGACAAAUCCAUAAUAUGUUGAGUAAAUGGGGUUACAUCAGGCUGGCAGCCAGUCACCACCGACAUUCCCACGGCUCAAUUUCACAGCCAGUGUUCUCCCAUGUUUUCAUAAAUGAUAUGGACACAGGAAUCAAAUAUACAAUAGGUAAAUCUGUCAGUGAUACUAAAUUAGGAAGAGCUGUGGACUUCCUUGGGGGUAAAGAGGUCCUGCAGAGAGAUCUGGAGAGCUGAGCCGUCACCAACUGUAUGAAAUUUAACUAGACCAAGUACUGGAUUCUCCUUGUGGGACACAGUAAUCCUGGUUAUUCAUACAAAUUGGAGAAUGAGAUACUGGAGAACAGCACUGUGGACAGGGACCUGGGGGCAAGUGGAACAUGACUCAGCAGUGCCCUGGCAGCCAGGAGGGCCGAGUGUGUCCUGGGGUGUAUCAGGCACAGCCUCGCCAGCCCGGCAAGGGAGGGGAUUGUCCCCCUCUGCUCUGCACUGGGGUGGUCUCACCUCGAGUGGUGGGGGCUGUUUUGGGUGCCACAAUAAAUGAAGGAUAUAAAGCUAUUGGAGUGUGUCCAGAGGAGGAUGACAAAAGUGGUGACAGGUCUCAAGAGCAAGACUUAGGAGGAAGUGGCUGAGGUUGCCUUGGUUUGUUUAGCUUAGAGAAGAGAAGGCUGGGGGAUGACCUCAUCACAGUCUACAGCUUCCUGAAGGAAGCAGUGGAGGGGAGGGACUGAUCUCCUCCCUCUGGUGACCAGCAACAGGACACAAGGAAAUGCAGUGAAGCUGCACCAGGUUUCAGAUCAGAAUUUAUAGGUAAAUGGGAUAGCAGCAUCCCAGGAUAUUCCUGAGCUGAGAUUGUAACCAUGGAAAGAAUAAAAGGAGACCACACCAGUCCUGUGCAACCAGAAGAUGCAGAGAGGAGCAGGACUGGAGAACAAGACCCAGAACUAACUGUACUGGGAAAAGCACAAGAGUUCUUUCAGAUUUGUGAUCUGGAAGACAAAGGCUUCGUCACUCGUCAAGACAUGCAGAGACUGCAUCCUGAGUUACCUCUUAGUCUGGAAGAACUUGAAAAAGUUUUUGUUACAUUGGAUGCUGAUGGAAAUGGCUCACUUACCCCAAAGGAGUUUAUCACAGGAUUCAGCCAAUUUCUUUUGGAGCAGAUUGCUUUGAAAAAUGACAUGGUACAGCCAUCAGAAGGUGAAACAACCUGCCCAGUUAGAUAUGAAGAGACCAUGACUGGUGAAGAGGAUGAAGAAUUCCAGUUCUCAAAUCUCAUGGAUCGGCUUGGAGCUGCAAAGGUUUUGGAUGAUGAGACUGAUGUGAAGCAACUUUGGUUGCAGCUAAGAAAAGAAGAACCUCAUUUACUUUCCAAUUUUGAAGAGUUCCUGGUCAGAAUUUUUUCCCAGCUCCAAGAAGCAGAUAAUGAGAAGAAUGAGUUGGAAUGUGCUCUAAAAAAGAAAAUUGCUGCUUAUGAUGAAGAAAUUCAACAUCUCUAUGAGGAAAUGGAACAGCAAAUCAAAAAGGAGAAAGAGCAGUUUCUCUUGAAAGACACAGAGAGGUUUCAGUCCCACAGUCAAGAGCUGGAGCGCAAGCUGCUGUCGAAAGAACAAGAACUGGAACAGUUGGUUCAAAAACAGAAAAGGUUAGAGCAUCAGUGUACACAACUCCUCAGUGGCAAAGAAGAAACCAAAGUAGAGAACACCAAACUGAAGCUGACUAACCAGGAGCUGCUGAGAGACCUGGAGAGAACAUCCCAUGAGCUAAGCCUGGCUCAACAGCAGCUGCAGGUGCUUCAGGAGGAGGCAUCAAGGCUCCAUGAGGAGAAGGAAAUGGAAGUGUACCUAGUGACAGAAACCUUACAGAGAGAGAAGUCAGGACUUUUGAAGCAGCUGGAUUUUUUAAGAGAGAGGAACAAACAUCUCAAGGAUGAAUGUGACAUAUUUUUGCAGAAAUGCAAAACAACUGUUCCAAAAGCCAGCUGGAAGCAGAGAUCAGGGUCUAUCAUUGGGAAAUACUUAGAGGGCAAGAUGCUGACAAACAGCCAUUCAUUUGAAGAAGAUGAUAUUUUCAGUAACUCAAAGAGAAGGAAUUCUGGUGGACUGAAUGGAGUUCUCUCUGAAGAGCCUGAUGCUGGAGUCACUGGAGGAAUGCCUAAAACAUCACAUCUCCAAAGAAUAAUAUCAAUUGAAGAAGAUCACCUACCCCAGCUUCUUGACAGGCUGGUUGAUAAGCAGCUGAGCAGAUGGACUGGAGAAGAUGAAAAUACUUUUGAUACAGAAAUGAAUAACAAAUCCAGAGAGCAAUCAAUGGAACACUCAUCAUCAUCAUCAUCUUCUAGAGAGCAGCCUGUAGGGAAGGAAACACUGUCAAAUGAGGAGAAAAUAAACUUUGUCCCAGAGCGAUUAUUCAAGAUUGUUUUUGUGGGCAAUUCGAGUGUUGGAAAGACUUCAUUCUUAAGACGAUUUUGUGAAGAUCGUUUUUUCCCAGGCACUGCUGCUACUGUAGGUGUGGAUUACAACGUGAGAACUGUCACAGUGGAUCGCACCCAGGUAGUGCUGCAGCUCUGGGACACAGCUGGCCAGGAACGGUACCGAAGCAUUACCAAGCAGUUUUUCAGAAAAGCUGAUGGGGUCAUUGUGAUGUAUGACAUAACAGCAAAAGACACAUUCACAGCUGUCAAGCAGUGGCUGAUAAGCAUUGAGGAGGCAACUGGAGAGAACAUGCCUGUUCUUUUAUUGGGUAACAAAACCGAUAACGAAAAGGAGCGUGAGGUCCCGAUGGGAAUAGGAGACCAUCUUGCAAAGGAUUAUAAUUUAAUUUUCUAUGAAUGCAGUGCUUAUUCUGGGUACAAUGUGGAAAAGUCUGUGCUCCACUUAGCUAGGAUUUUAAAAGAACAUGAAGAUAAAGUGAAAGAGAAAACCAUCGAACUUCAAUCUGAUACAAACAAAAAGUCAUGCUGUAUGAGGCAAUAAAAUGCUGAGGCAUGUUUAGACAAGUCAUACAUUUAUAAAACACUACCUGGCACUAUCAGAUUUGCUUUUAUACUCCAAAUAUUUCUUCUGCUGUGUUCUGACUGUAGGUGCAAGUGAAAGUGAAAAUCUUUAUAUGAUCUGAUCUUGCUUUUAUAAAUAUUGUCUUUAGUUAAUUGAGAGUGUAUUUGGGACAGUAACAGUCUUUUAUUCUGUUUGAUGCCAAACACCACUGAAUCCUGCUUUGUCAUCAGGCUUGUAGAAGGUGCCACAUUAUUAAUAUGAAGAAACAAUUUUAUGGGAAGAAAACUCUUUUGAAUAUGAAGUAAAUUCCUACUUGUAUGAAUAACCCAUCAUAUGAAUACUGCUUAUUUCAUUUUUGUUCAGAUCCUUAGAUCCUCAUUUUUGGGCUAAGCUCCCUUUACAGUUUUAAAAAAUUGCCAUAGGUGUAGUUGUUUGUAGUUUAAAACAUGUUAAGGCUGACUGAACAGCUCUUUGUCUCCAAAAGUCUGUCAUAGGAGGUGUCAUAGAAAAUUUUGGAGGUAGAAUUUUCAGAAACAGCAGAUCUUAUUUUGAGGAAGAUUUUGAAAAACUUACCAGCAUUUAAUGAAUGAAAAAUCACACCAAAAUUCAGUGAGAUAUUGCUCUUUUAGCAAUGCUAAGAAAAAAUUCCUCCUCAUGUAGCUAAACACAUGACUGCUUUUUCAAAAGCAGCUGCCACACAACAUUCCUCCAGGGCCUGAUAGCACUGAGACACAGUUUACCCAUGGGAUGCAUUUUAGAAAAUCAUGGCCUACCCUGGACCAUAAGAAACACAGAUGUCAAUUAUCUUUGGAAGCUUUUGUGGAGUAUAAAUGGAAAUAAGAAACUUGAGAGUGCGUCACCACAUGAUCAACAAUUAUUCCUGGUGGGAUAUGUCUUCACUGCAUCCGGCUGUUGUGGGUUGCUUCUUGAAGUCCACUACUGGUUGUGGAGAGUUGAGUCACCUUAUCAACUGUGGCACAUUAUCCAUCAUGGAAGACUUAGAAUUGAAUCAUCUGUGUUCAGUCCUGUCUGGAGCUGAACUAAUGCAAACCAUUAAUUCAAACAUCAACAAAAACAACACUUUAUCCCAAUUUCAGCUAGGAAAAAAGUGUCAUCAGUUUAAGUAUUGGCUCUGCUAAUUGACUUUGAGUGAUCUGUUUCUCCAUUGAUGUUGGAACCAGCAAUAUUUCCUCUAGCCUCUGUCAGCUUCAGGAAGACAGUUUGAACCCUUAAUUCCAGCUUUAAUGUCCAUGAUUCUAGCCCCACAGAUUCAAAUUCUUAAUUUCUUUUUCCCUGGUUCAUCUUGAUUUUGAAGGACAGUGACAAGUGAAGUAGAUUUUCUUUCUGUGAAUCCCAUGGGAUCAUUUUUAUUUGGGUGUCCUUUAGCAUGCACUAAGACCCUGCCAGCAGGAUGUACACAAUUUGAGAACAGACAAUGCUAAGAAGCAGCUGAAUCCUGGGAUGAGAGGUGUUUCUCCUUCUACAGACAAAUCUGGUGGAGUCUAGCACCCAGGCAACGUCUUCCAUCUAGGAUUGAUAGCUGUGGCCGCUGCUGAUCCUUCUUGGAAGUCCAGCCAAAUUCCAAGCUGAGUACACAUUGCAAAGGUGUAGAUACACGCACAGCACCAACAUCAUCAGCCACACAGAGACUAAUGUCUUCACUGCUUGUCACCCACAUAUGCGCAAGCAGCAUUCCUAUCAAUAUGAACACAGAUAACCUAAUCCUCUUCCUUUCCAACAGAUCAAGACUGAAGUUCUCUGAUGAAAACAUGCGUGUACACAACUCCUGUGACUUGCAGUGUUCUCUUUCUCUCACCCUGUCCUACACCUCUCCCCAGGAUCAAGCAAAAAAUCACGUUUAAUGAAAAGGCUAGAUGUCCUGUAGCUGCGGGGCACAAGGCUUAUUCAGAUAAAUUCUGACCAGCAGCUUGCCCACAUACAACUGGUCCCUUUUAUUCUACCUUCUCUUGAUUUUUUUGCAUGCUUAUUCUUCUUCCACCUACCCUGACCCCUCCCUUUCUCUGUCCUUCAUAUCCCAAAGAAACAACUUGUCCCUAGUUGCCUUUUCCCUGUUAGUCCCAGGUUUUCUACAUCUGUACCCAUAUUUUUUCUACCAUUUCCUAAGUCACCUUGACUUUACGUGCUGUUAUUAAUACAAGUUUCCGCUCCCAAAAGAGUCCCAACUAUUCCCCUCCAAUUACUUGUGAAGUUACUGUGUAACUCCCCCUUAUCCACCUGGGAAGUCCAGACUUGGCUUACAGUGCUCUCUGUAAAAACUUUCAGCUUCUCACUCUGUUAUUUGCAGUGUUCAGGGUUGCUUGUGAAGGUUUCUCAUGGUCUGUUUGGUUAUCUAAACCUCAGGUCAGGGCUUAUUCACCUGUUGGCACACCUGAACAAACAGCAGGUACUGGUGGACUCAUGCUCACUGAAGACAGGUGUGAAGAACAUGCAACAAGGCUCUUCUCAUGGACAGAUUCUGCUGUCCAGCUGGCCAUUAAACUGGUGUGGGAAUUGUCAGGUUCCCACAUUCAUUGAUGCUAGGUGUAUUGCUGGGUUGCUGUCUUCUGACUCUCCAGCAGGGUUUUAUACCUCCUGGCAGUAUUUUUCUCAGCUCUUCAGAAAGUUAAUACUGGCUUAACAGAAGUGAAGCUUCCUUUUCCUCUUUUCUUUUUUUUUUUCUCCAUUUUUUCCAUUUCAAUUCUCCAUUGGCAGAAAUUGAUCUCUGCCUGGUCAGGUACCCAGUACUGACAGAUCUUUGGAUACGUACAAUACAAAGUCCAUUUGCGUGGAUAUAACAGAGUGCUUCUAACCCUUUGGAACUGAACAUCCAUGAAUUACUGUGUGCCAGUCAAAACAGAUUCCAGCCUGCCCAGAUGUGAAUGGAGCAACAGUGUAAAAAAAUCAUUGCCCAGUAUAACCUCCCUGAGAGAAGUGUAUAGCACCUCCUUACAUACCAGAUUUGAGGAGUGAUCUGCAGCUGUUAAAAUGGGAAUGCUCCGCACACAAGGAAUAUGUGAGGAACAGACUAUGCUGAAGCAAGUUUGCCUCUGGAAGAACUGUACUCAGUGGUCACACCUCAUACUGGAGCAGGGACAAAUGAGGAACAGGACAACUGGCAUCCCAAAGCCCAGGACAACUGGAAACAUUGAGAUUGAAUGGCUGAAACCAUAUUACUUGGUGUGGUACAAAGCAUUACACACAGCCCCACAACUUUCUGUGCUGCCUGUUGGCUCCCUGGGCAAAUUCUGAAAAAAAAAAUGGAAGCUGAAACUCAGGAGCAGAGGAGAGAAAAAAUGUACAUGUAUACAUUUGUCUAAUGGUUUACAUUAUUUUUCUUUCCCCAGAACUGCAAUCAUCGAUAAAAGAUUUGUGUACUUUAGUAGUAAAUUAACUCAAGUAAAAUUUCCCAACUUGGGAGCAUUUUUGUUUGCAACAUCUGUAUAUUGGCAGAAUUUUCUACCAUGUGAGAUCAUUUUGGAAUAAAUCCUCUUUAUCAUCUGCAUAAGUAGAAGCUUGUUUUAGAAAGUAGAAACAUGCUCAUAAAGCUCAUCAAUAGCAACUUCCUGAAUUCAUCCACAGCUGUUGAAAUAAUGGGUCUUUUUUGAUUAUUGAAAUUACAGGAUUUGCAAUAGCACUCACAUACACUUCUGGAAAAAGGAGAGAGUUAUGCACUUUGGCCUGUUUACUCAUAAAACAACUAAAGUUAUUUUAAUAUGAAGCUAGUAAAGGGCACCUGGUUAUUGUCUGAUGAAAAUAGGCUUCUCAAGGGGAAAAAAACUCCAGUAGGUUAACUUUACAGGGCAUGUAUAAAAGUUCAUUUCUAUUACUAAUCUGAAAUAUUGUAUGCAGAGACACUGAAUUCUUCCAAAUGUACUAGAAUUUGAAGGACAUUGGAUUAGUCAGAUAAGCAUUGCUUAUUUCCUUUCAAACACUGAAGAGGGAAGUGUUUCAAACAAGUCCAUCUAUACUGGAUAGCUGUGUUUAGCUUCUGCAGUUGUCAGUGCCUUUUCUGCCACAUGCUUCUUCUGAGCACAAGAAUCAUUACAAGAAAAAACCCAGAUUCAGAGGAGUUUUCUCACUGGAAAUAUCUGGUUUUCAUGGGUUGAACAAGAAGGGAGUAGGGAAUCCUGUGGAACUGAGACAUUUGAGUAACACAUGUGGCUCUGAAUCUUACUCAAGCACUCCUAUUACUUGAGGUGCUGUUUGUGUGUCUGGGUAAUGAACAGUGAAGACCCUGCUGUGUUUUGUGUGGCUGAUGACAUUAGUAUGUUGUGUAUGCAUCUGCCCCUUUGCAGUACAUACUCAGCUCAGGUUUUGGCUGGACUUACAGCAGUGAAGAGCAGCAGCCACAGCUACCAUCUCUCUGUGACAUAGUGUUAUACCUGGUGUUUUGUCUUGUGCCAUCUUUGCCUCAUGUUGUGAGAGCUGUGUUCUUUUGCUCAGAGCAUACAUAAUAUGCUUUUAGGUCUUGUGUCACUCUAUCCAGCUUAAUUUUUUUUUUUUUUUUGCUGUCUUCUUAAUGACCUUGUUGUAAGUGAGUAUUAUUUGGAACAUUAGCCUGCCUGUUUGCAGGAUUCAGUGCUGCUGCAGCUCUACACUUAAAUCUUACCUUUUCAGAGGAAAUCAAGCCUAUGAAUCGGGAAUGUGAAUAUUCCUGUGACUGUAUAGCUGCUGUUGAAGCUCAGGUGCUGCUGUUUUCAGAGGGAAGAUCACUGGGUAGGUUUGCAACUCUCCAUUCCUGCCAAUCAUUACUCCUCCAUUUUACCUUUUACAAGCUGUUAGAACCCUGCAACAAGCCAUUUUAGGCCUUGGCAGAAUCUCAAGAAAAAAUAUAAUAGAGAAAAGAAGAAAAAGACAGAAUUCUCUCCUGUAUUAGUGAGCUGAACUAGCCCAGCAAAAUCUGACAAAUACCACAGUUAGUGGGAGGAUAUGGGUGGAAAACACAGCUAAGAUCACAGUUUUGAGAAAAGAAGUCUAGAGGGGUGGGCAGCCCAUUUUCAGUACCAAGAAGGUGUUUAAUUGUCUCACCUCUUUUUAACCUCAUAUUUCAAUAUUAAUAAAUGGAACUGGAUGGGGACCAUAUUUCUCAGACAGCCUGGGGAGCUCAGUAUUGCUGCAGCCAAACACCAGUUUGGAUACCUGUGCUGGGGGCUGGAAAGCCUCAGGACUGGCAGUGCAUAGCUCAGAGGUAAGGAAGGCUCUCAGCUGCAAAGCUCAGAUGCCUCCCCUGAGAGCCUGAGUGAACACUCAGUUUCUGCAUAGCCUUCUCCCAAGUUCUUACAGGUGCAAAUGACUGAACUGCAUUGAACUGCACUACUUGACAGCUUUGAACAAGGUUCUUUGAAUCUAGGCUAUUAAGGCUCAUCAGUUGUCAUAGCAACCCUGUAUUGUAUGGAUUUAUAUUAUGAAGCUGUAAUAAGGCUGUUGCUCAUCCCUCUGAAAUGAGGCAUAAAUCACGAAUACAGUUUCUCAGUGACAGGACUUCUUUAAGUAUUAUUCUGACAGAAAAACUGAUUUGCAUUAAAUGACAUUUCUGUCAGAAAGACGAAUGAUAGGAGUGAAACUUUCUACAGGUAGGCUAUAAGCACUUUCAUUUGUAAUCCUCUGUAGAGUCACCUUUUACACUGAAAUUAUUUGUGUCAUUAGAAGCCCCAGGAGAGGUUGUGCAAGGAAUUACUAAACUCAGGUAAAAUGUGUGAAGCCCUUGCUGUUGGCUUGUCCCAUGCAGGGAAUGCUACCCAGCAAUUGAGUUCUGCUCAGAUUAUUAAAUAUUGAAUUUUUUGUUUAAUAUUUGUUCCUUGCUGACAUGGUUCUUGUGUAGAAUGGUAGCUAAAUGUACCUUUCUGUCAUUGCUGUGCAGACAAUGCAGCUGUGCAAACAUGGUAUACACAGAUUUCUGGAGGGCGCCAUUGGUCAAGAAAGUUAAAUCAUACACAAUUACAGACAUCUAUCAAAUGACUAAAAAUUAACUUCUGGCAGGUUUCGACAUGUAGUGCUAAAUAAGCUAGGCAUGGUUUAUUGUGAAGGGGAUUUGUAUCCAAUUUGUGAUAAUUUAUAAAGUCCCCAUUUCUGGAAGUUUUCAGAACAGUUUUUAUACAAAACCACAGUGAUUUGACACAGCUUUGAAGACACUGCUUGGACUAGAAACCUCCAAGGUUUCCUUACAACCUACGUUUUGGGGGUACAGAUGGAAAAAUCCCCAAAUACCAUUCUAGUUAAGCAGACUGUUUUGAGUGUCUGCUUUGUAUACCAACAUUAAAGCCCAGCGGUUAAUUUAAGAUCACCACAACACCUGCAACAGAGCAUUUAAGAGUGUUAUGAAAGCACUCUGUGGUGCAAGACAUCUCUUGAGAAAGCAAAUGUCUGUCCUGUCUUCCAGAAAGGCAAGAAGGGUCCAGACAGCAAUGAGCCUUACAAUCCCCAGGAAAGUGAUGGACAACUAGUCCUGGAAACCACUCUGAGAUACACAAAGCACAAGGUUGUGAUCAGGAAUAAUCAGCAUGGAAUGACAAUGGGGAAAUUGUGCAUAAUGAAGCUGAUAGUUUCCACAGUGAGAUGUCUAGCUUGAUGGAUGAGAAGAGAUUCAUGGAUGUUGUUUUACUCAGCUUUAGUGAGGCUUUUGACACUCUCCCAUAACAUUCUCAGUGACAAGAUGACAAAGUGUUAGACAGUUGGACAGGAAAAUGCUCUAAAAACCAGCUGAAUGACUGGGCCCAGGGGGCUUAAAGAAGAGAAAGCUCAAGAGGGAUCUUAUCAGUAAAUAUAAAUACUUGAAGAACUUUGGGAAUGAAGAGAAGAGAGCUACACUCUUCUCUGGAGUACCCAGUGACGGUAGAAGAGGCUACAGGCACAAAUUAAAACACAUGAAAUUCCAUCUGAACACAAGAAAUUAUCUUUUCUUUUUUCCUGUGGAAGUUCUCAAACACUGGA